rnacentral:rRNA from 1 species
AAUCUUCCACACUGGACGAAAGUCUGAUGUAGCACCGCCGCGUGAGCGGAGAAGGUUUUCGGAUCGUAAAGCUCUGUUUCGAGGGAAGAACAAGUACGGGAGUAACUGCCCGUACCUUGACGGUACUUCGUCAGAAAGCCACGGCUAACUACUUGCCAGCAGCCGAGGUAAUACGUAGGUGGCAAGCGUUGUCCGGAAUUAUUGGGCGUAAAGGGAGCGCAGGCGGGACUGUAAGUCUGAUGUGAAAGGCCACGGCUCAACCGAGGAGGGUCAUUGGAAACUGGAGGACUUGAGUACAAAAGAGGAAAGCGGAAUUCCACGUGUAGCGGUGAAAUGCGUAGAGAUGUGGAGGAACACCAGUGGCGAAGGCGGCUUGCUGGUCUGUAACUGACGCUGAGGCGCGAAAGCGUGGGGAGCGAACA